rnacentral:rRNA from 1 species
AGAAUCAACGCUGGCGGCGUGCCUAACACAUGCAAGUCGAACGAGAAAGUGGAGCAAUCCAUGAGUAAAGUGGCGACCGGGUGAGUAACACGUGACUAACCUACCUUCGAGUGGGGGAUAACCUCGGGAAACCGAGGCUAAUACCGCAUAACAUCGCAAGAUCAAAGCAGCAAUGCGCUGGAAGAGGGGGUCGCGGCUGAUUAGCUAGUUGGCGGGGUAACGCCCACCAAGGCGAAGAUCGGUAGCCGGCCUGAGAGGGCGCACGGCCACACUGGAACUGAAACACGGUCCAGACUCCUACGGGAGGCAGCAGUGGGGAAUUUUGCGCAAUGGGGGAAACCCUGACGCAGCAACGCCGCGUGGAGGAUGAAGCCCCUUGGGGCGUAAACUCCUUUCGACCAAGACGAUAAUGACGGUACUGGUGGAAGAAGCACCGGCUAACUCUGCGCCAGCAGCCGC